CUCUGACAUCCCUCGGCCCCACUGAGCUUGUCUGGCAAAACAGCCGUUGCACAUCAAAGCAAUCUGUGAAACGUGGAGACCUCUGAAGAUCCUCGCCACGUAAAAAAUAAGAGGUAAAACACUAGAAAAUAUCCUGUAAUUAUAUAAAGCAUCAAAACAAAUAAAAACAUUGACAACAAUAAGGCUUAACUCAUCAGAUGGAUACAUCUAAUAAAAAUCUAUGAUUAUUUCAAGAAAAUUAUCAAUGCAUAUGAACUUAUAAUAUAAAAAAAGAUGUGGUAUGAUUGCCAAUGAGACAACUCUUCACAAGAGACCGUGUGACACAGAAAAUAACAACUAUAGGUCACUGUACGACCUUCAACAAUGACCAAAGCUCAUACCGCAUAGUUAGCUAUAAAAGGUCCUGAAAUGACACAUGUAGAACAAUGCAAACGAGAAAACUAACGGCCUAAUUUAUGUAUAAAAAAUGAACAAAAAACAAAUAUGUAACACAGCAACAAACGACAACCACUGAAUUAAAGACUCCUGACUUUGGACAGGCACAUACAUACAGAAUGUGGCGAGGUUAAACAUGUUAGCGGGAUCCCAACCCUUCCCUUAACCUGGGACAGUGGUGUAACAGUACAACAUAAGAACGAACUAUACAAAUCAGUUGAAAAAGGCUUAACUCAUCAGAUGGAUACAAAUAGAAAUACAUCUUACAAAAACAGAGAGUGAACGUGACCGAGUACUUGUACAUCCCAUCAACAAAAAGACACCAAGUACAGAUCUGAGAGUACUGGCAGUUACUGACAGCUAGUUCAAAGCCAAUUACAACUAAUAAAAAGUAAUGCAUCUGAGACUAAAUUAUCAAUCAUUACACAUCCAG
rnacentral:lncRNA from 1 species